rnacentral:rRNA from 1 species
UACGGAGGGUGCAAGCGUUGUCCGGAUUUAUUGGGUUUAAAGGGUGCGUAGGCGGCCCGUUAAGUCAGUGGUGAAAGCCUCCAGCUCAACUGGAGAACUGCCAUUGAUACUGGCGGGCUUGAGUACAGACGAGGUUGGCGGAAUUGAUUGUGUAGCGGUGAAAUGCAUAGAUACAAUCAAGAACACCGAUUGCGUAGGCAGCUAACUAGGCUGUAGCUGACGCUGAGGCACGAAAGCGUGGGGAGCGAACAGG